rnacentral:rRNA from 1 species
AAUAAAAUAUUUAGGUAUAAAUUAUAAAUAUUAUCCAUUCUUAAAACAUUUUUAAAAUAAGUAAAGGUGAUUAAAAAUUAUUUAAUGAAUACCCUAAAUAAAGUACUGCAAAGGAAUAUAAUUUAAAUUGAUUAAAAGAAAAAAUUAAAAUUUGUACCUUUGGCAUCAUGGUUUAACUAGAUUUUAAUUUUUGUUAAAAUUUCUCGAAAUCUAAUGAGCUAUUAUUAACUCAGUCUCUUAGGGCCAAAAGGAGUAGUUGUAGCAAAAACUUUCCUAGAAGUAAUAAUAGAAAUGAAAUUUUAUCCGUAUUAGAUGAUAGCUAGUUCUUCUUAAAAAGUAUAUAAGUACUUUAAACUAAUUUGAUUUUUAUUAUAAUUAAAAUUUUAAAAAAUUUAGUUUGCCUAAAUUUUCGAGGAUAAGCUCGAAAAUUAUUAAUCUAUAUUUGCAUAGUAUUUUAAUUAAAAUUUAAGCUUGAAAAUAGCUAUAAUUUUGAUUUUGUUAUAAUUUCAUUAACCCAAUAAAAAAAGAAUUAAUUUGCAUAUAUUAAAAGAAGAAAACUUUGAAAUAAAAAAAGUUGAAUAGAUGUUAAAAUGAGUAUUUAAUAAAAUAUAUACAUAUUUUAAUAAUAUCAUGUUUUAAAACUUAUCGUUAUAUAUUAAUUACAAACUGUAAAAAGGAACUCGGCAAAUGUUCAUUCUGCCUGUUUAGCAAAAACAUGGCUCCUUGUCGAUAGAAAAUAAGGAGUCGGACCUGCCCAGUGAAUUUUUUUCAACGGCCGCGGUACUCUGACCGUGCAAAGGUAGCAUAAUCAUUUGCCUUAUAAUUGAGGGCUAGUAUGAAUGGUUUGACAAGAAUGAAGCUGUCUCUUUACAGUUAAAUAGAAUUUUAUUUAUAGGUGAAGAAGCCUAUAUCAAAUUAAAAGACAAGAAGACCCUAUCGAGCUUGAAAGAAAUUAAUAGGAGUACAAUCAAUAUAUCUACAAGAUUAACUAUUAAAAAUUUUAGUUGGGGCGACUGAGGAACAAAGAAAGCUUCCUUUAUAGUUAUAGAAUACAAAACAUACAAGUAUUGAUCCAGAACAAUCUGAUUAACGAAAUUAGUUACCGUAGGGAUAACAGCAUUAUCUUUUUUAAGAGCUCUUAUCGAAAAAAAGGUUUGUGACCUCGAUGUUGGACCAGAAUGUCCUAAAGAUGCAGCAGUCUUUAAGGGUUGGUCUGUUCGACCAUUAAAAUUCUACGUGAUCUGAGUUCAGACCGGCGUGAGCCAGGUCAGUUUCUAUCUUUAAUUAUUUAAAUAAGCUUAGUACGAAAGGACCAGCUUGUUAUAAUCUAUUAUUAAAAGUGAUAUAGUAUAAUUUUAGUAUUAAAUUAU